CCACGGCCUUCGAAUUGGAACAGUGCUCGUGCAACGACUGAUGACGUUUCACGAGUCCACGAGCACACAAGCACGCACAAGUACGCGAAUUGAGAAACGGCCAUAAUAAAGGAUGGACCACGGACUGGAAAAUGGCCGCCCAUUCAUUCCUAUACAAACUGCUCAGUGGCGCAGGGUAACAUACAGGAGCGAUUUGCUUCCGCGUUAUGGGUCCAAGACACGUGGCCUAGUCAGAGAAUGUCUAAUAUGAGGAGAAUGGGCACUCGCUGGUUGGUUCCGGUUUUCUGGAAUGGUUGCAGUAAUAAUCUCUGUCCACGCGGGGCGCUCGUAGGCGAAUCCAGAAUGAAUGGGAGCCUAUGGGGUUUUAUCCUCAGAAUACACUUUUCUCACGAUGUAAUUUUUUGUCAAGUAAUUUGAAAGUUGCGUUCAAAAGGUGGGGCUAAAAUAAUAAACUCAGCUGAAUAUUGCAUUUUUUAAGGUCACGUAUCUGUUCUAAAAAGGUGUUAAAAAAAUACGAUGACGUCACACAUUGUCAUACUGUCAGAGGUACUGCUUUACGGCAGUUUCUGAAGCACUUCCCGCAACGAUAAUACCAGCUGUUGGAGUUGGACAUUGAUGCUGUGACAACGGACAAGUCUUCUUCCUCUGUCCUUUUUCCCUGCCUCUGUUCUGUAUGUUCAGUGUUGUUAAAUCAUUUAUCUUUUUUUUUAUUAUUUACUAUUAGUUACUGUUCUUAUUGUGUUCUUGUUAUUGUGAUGUUUGAAUAAACUUGCCUGUUGCAAUGUU